rnacentral:rRNA from 1 species
CAGCCGCGGUAAUACGGAGGGUGCAAACGUUGCUCGGAAUUAUUGGGCGUAAAGCGCACGUAGGCGGUCCGCUAAGUCGGAUGUGAAAGCCCUCGGCUUAACCGAGGAAGUGCAUCCGAAACUGACGGGCUAGAGUACGGAAGAGGGUUUCGGAAUUCCCGGUGUAGAGGUGAAAUUCGUAGAUAUCGGGAGGAACACCAGUGGCGAAGGCGGAAAACCUGGGGCCGAUACUGACGCUGAGGUGCGAAAGCUGGGGAGCAAACAGGAUUAGAUACCCUGGUAGUCCACGCCGUAAACGAUGAGCGCUAGGUGUUGGGGGUAUUGACCCCCCCAGUACCGCAGCUAACGCGUUAAGCGCUCCGCCUGGGGAGUACGGCCGCAAGGCUAAAACUCAAAGGAAUUGACGGGGG